CAGGUAGGACUACCCGCUGAACUUAAGCAUAUCA
rnacentral:rRNA from 13 species